CGCACAUUGCGCCCUUUGGUAUUCCGAGGGGCAUGCCUGUUCGAGCGUCAUUUCAACCGUCAAGCCUAGCUUGGUGUUGGACGAGGUCUGGGGACCCGUCCGCAACUUGUCGGCGGCACCGUCCAGCUCUCAGCGUAGCAAGUCUUGUACCCUCGCUCGGGAGCCUGUGGCGGGCCCGCCCUACAACCCACUUAGAGUUUGACCUCGGAUCAGGUAGGGAUACCCGCUGAACUUAA
rnacentral:misc_RNA from 1 species